AAGUCGUAACAAGGUUUCCGUAGGUGAACCUUCGGAAGGAUCAUUACCGUAACGCGGCGGUCCGGCAACCGCAAGGAAGUCGGCCGCCACACGCGUUUUUUCCACCCUUGAUUUUGAGCACCUUCGUUUCCUCGGCGGGUUCGCCCGCCAAUGAGGACCCCCUCAAACUCUUUGUAAUAGCAAUAUUUGUCUGAAAACAAAACAAUAAUUAAAACUUUCAACAAUGGAUCUCUUGGUUCUGGCAUCGAUGAAGAACGCAGCGAAAUGCGAUAAGUAGUGUGAAUUGCAGAAUUCAGUGAAUCAUCGAAUCUUUGAACGCACAUUGCGCCCCUCGGUAUUCCGUGGGGCAUGCCUGUUCGAGCGUCAUUUAAACCCUCAAGCCUAGCUUGGUAUUGGGUGCUUGUCCCGCCUCUGCGCGGCGACUCACCUCAAAGUCAUUGGCAGCCCGCAUCCGCCGGUCUCGAGCGCAGCACAGUCGCACUCUUGGCAACGGCAGAUCGGCUCUCCAAAAGCUUAUUUCAACCAUUGACCUCGGAUCAGGUAGGGAUACCCGCUGAACUUAA
rnacentral:rRNA from 1 species